GAUGAAGAACGUAGCGAAAUGCGAUACGUAGUGUGAAUUGCAGAAUUCAGUGAAUCAUCGAAUCUUUGAACGCACAUUGCGCCCUUUGGUAUUCCAAAGGGCAUGCCUGUUCGAGCGUCAUUUGUACCCUCAAGCUUUGCUUGGUGUUGGGCGUUUUUGUCUUUGGCCCGCCAAAGACUCGCCUUAAAAUGAUUGGCAGCCGGCCUACUGGUUUCGCAGCGCAGCACAUUUUUGCGCUUGCAAUCAGCAAAAGAGGACGGAAAUCCAUCAAGACUCCUUCUCACGUUUGACCUCGGAUCAGGUAGGGAUACCCGCUGAACUUAAGCAUAACAAUAAGCGGAGGA
rnacentral:misc_RNA from 1 species